CGGUGGUUCAUUGCAACGGAGAGAAUUGUCCUAACUGAACGCGUGAAGCAGAAGAAGAAGAGGCAAAUAGUAAAGUGAAUGAAUUCUUUUAGCCAUAGAAAAUCUCAAGUUCAGAGUUUUGUGUGCGGCCAACGUAAACGCAAAGUAUCAUCGUUUGAACGAAUAAAUGGCCUUGUGACAAAUACGUGAGUGAAAUACAAUAUUUAUUUGAAAUAAAAAAUAACAAAUAUAAAUUGUCCAAAAUAAAAAAAAAAAAUAAUAAUAAAGAAUGAAAGGAAUGAAAAAGUGAAUAGCAACUAAGUAAAAGCGAAUGUGAAAAGAGAAAGUGUGAAAAACAAGUGUUUCUCUGGCUUAUAGUGCAAACAAUAAAAAAAGAUAAAUAAUAAACUAAGCCGACGCACAACUACAUCUACAUAAAACACACAGAAAGGUCGGUCUGAAGCAUCCUUUGUGUUUAUUAUUAUCCCUUUUGGCUGCAGUCUGGCCAAAUGAAAUGUUGAAAGAGUAAAAUGAUUCAUAUUACUUGCUCCUGCUCUUCCGCUUAGAUGAAAGCAAAAAAGUGAAAGGUUAUACAAAUUUUUAGCCUUGGACCAGCAAUUGAGAAAGUGUUUGUUUUCAAAAAAAAAAAAAAAAAGAAGAAGAAGCAUCAACAAAACCAAUACAAUAAUUUAAGUGUCCCAAACUUUAAGAAAGGCAUAUUUUGGCUAUUUGGCCCCUUUGGGAGAAGAGGCAAGCAAACUCUGGCACAAGCACAUAUGUGCCGCAAGGAUAUUUAAAUUACACACAUGUACAUUUACACACGCUCACACUCAGCUACUACACUCUCAACACAACAUAUUCGUAUAUUGCAUAUACGUGACCAGCCACUUCAGGGACAUGGGGAUUAAUCUGGUGAUAGCACAUGAAAUAAAGCAGAAGGAGUCUAUAUGUAAUCAAAUGUGAAUGGGCUUUAAAUAUUUGGAAAAAUAUAGAAAUUGAACUGGACUAAAUUUCGAUAUAUGCCCUACAAAACCGGU